GACGAACGCUUGCGGCGUGCUUAACACAUGCAAGUCGAACGGAAAGGCCCUGCUUUUGUGGGGUGCUCGAGUGGCGAACGGGUGAGUAACACGUGAGUAACCUGCCCUUGACUUUGGGAUAACUUCAGGAAACUGGGACUAAUACCGGAUAGGAGCUCCUGCUGCAUGGUGGGGGUUGGAAAGUUUCGGCGGUUGGGGAUGGACUCGCGGCUUAUCAGCUUGUUGGUGGGGUAGUGGCUUACCAAGGCUUUGACGGGUAGCCGGCCUGAGAGGGUGACCGGCCACAUUGGGACUGAGAUACGGCCCAGACUCCUACGGGAGGCAGCAGUGGGGAAUAUUGCACAAUGGGCGGAAGCCUGAUGCAGCAACGCCGCGUGCGGGAUGACGGCCUUCGGGUUGUAAACCGCUUUCGCCUGUGACGAAGCGUGAGUGACGGUAAUGGGUAAAGAAGCACCGGCUAACUACGUGCCAGCAGCCGCGGUGAUACGUAGGGUGCGAGCGUUGUCCGGAUUUAUUGGGCGUAAAGGGCUCGUAGGUGGUUGAUCGCGUCGGAAGUGUAAUCUUGGGGCUUAACCCUGAGCGUGCUUUCGAUACGGGUUGACUUGAGGAAGGUAGGGGAGAAUGGAAUUCCUGGUGGAGCGGUGGAAUGCGCAGAUAUCAGGAGGAACACCAGUGGCGAAGGCGGUUCUCUGGGCCUUUCCUGACGCUGAGGAGCGAAAGCGUGGGGAGCGAACAGGCUUAGAUACCCUGGUAGUCCACGCUGUAAACGGUGGGUACUAGGUGUGGGGUCCAUUCCACGGGUUCCGUGCCGUAGCUAACGCUUUAAGUACCCCGCCUGGGGAGUACGGCCGCAAGGCUAAAACUCAAAGGAAUUGACGGGGCCCCGCACAAGCGGCGGAGCAUGCGGAUUAAUUCGAUGCAACGCGUAGAACCUUACCUGGGUUUGACAUGGAUCGGGAGUGCUCAGAGAUGGGUGUGCCUCUUUUGGGGUCGGUUCACAGGUGGUGCAUGGCUGUCGUCAGCUCGUGUCGUGAGAUGUUGGGUUAAGUCCCGCAACGAGCGCAACCCUUGUUCACUGUUGCCAGCACGUUAUGGUGGGGACUCAGUGGAGACCGCCGGGGUCAACUCGGAGGAAGGUGGGGAUGACGUCAAGUCAUCAUGCCCCUUAUGUCCAGGGCUUCACGCAUGCUACAAUGGCUGGUACAGAGAGUGGCGAGCCUGUGAGGGUGAGCGAAUCUCGGAAAGCCGGUCUCAGUUCGGAUUGGGGUCUGCAACUCGACCUCAUGAAGUCGGAGUCGCUAGUAAUCGCAGAUCAGCAACGCUGCGGUGAAUACGUUCCCGGGGCU
rnacentral:rRNA from 1 species